rnacentral:rRNA from 1 species
GUGGGGAAUAUUGGACAAUGGGCGCAAGCCUGAUCCAGCCAUACCGCGUGGGUGAAGAAGGCCUUCGGGUUGUAAAGCCCUUUUGUUGGGAAAGAAAUCCUGUCGGUUAAUACCUGGCGGGGAUGACGGUACCCAAAGAAUAAGCACCGGCUAACUUCGUGCCAGCAGCCGCGGUAAUACGAAGGGUGCAAGCGUUACUCGGAAUUACUGGGCGUAAAGCGUGCGUAGUUGGUGGUUUAAGUCCGUUGUGAAAGCCCUGGGCUCAACCUGGGAAUUGCAGUGGAUACUGGAUCACUAGAGUGUGGUAGAGGGAUGCGGAAUUUCUGGUGUAGCAGUGAAAUGCGUAGAGAUCAGAAGGAACAUCCGUGGCGAAGGCGGCAUCCUGGGCAAACACUGACACUGAGGCACGAAAGCGUGGGGAGCAAACAGGAUUAGAAACCCGAGUAGUCC